rnacentral:rRNA from 1 species
UACGAAGGGUGCAAGCGUUAAUCGGAAUUACUGGGCGUAAAGGGUGCGUAGGCGGUUCGUUAAGUCUGUCGUGAAAUCCCCGGGCUCAACCUGGGAAUGGCAAUGGAUACUGGCUGGCUAGAGUGUGUCAGAGGAUGGUGGAAUUCCCGGUGUAGCGGUGAAAUGCGUAGAGAUCGGGAGGAACAUCAGUGGCGAAGGCGGCCAUCUGGGACAACACUGACGCUGAAGCACGAAAGCGUGGGGAGCAAACAGG